rnacentral:rRNA from 1 species
AUUGAACGCUGGCGGCAGGCCUAACACAUGCAAGUCGAACGAGUGGCGGACGGGUGAGUAAUGUCUGGGAAACUGCCUGAUGGAGGGGGAUAACUACUGGAAAAGGUAGCUAAUACCGCAUACCAUCAGAUGUGCCCAGAUGGGAUUAGCACGUUGGGGGGGAAACGGCUAACCAAGGAGACGAUCCCUAGCAGGUCUGAGAGGGUGACCGGCCAACCUGGAACUGAGACACGGUCCAGACUCCUACGGGAGGAAGCAGUGGGGAAUAUUGCACAAUGGGCGCAAGCCUGAUGCAGCCAUGCCGCGUUUAUGAAGAAGGCCUUCGGGUUGUAAAGUACUUUCAGCGGGGAGGCGUUACCCGCAGAAGAAGCACCGGCUAACUCCGUGCCAGCAGCCGCGGUAAUU